GAAUAUUGGACAAUGGGUGCGAGCCUGAUCCAGCCAUGCCGCGUGCAGGAAGACGGCCUUCUGGGUUGUAAACUGCUUUUGCCAGGGGAUAAACAGAGCGUGCGCGCUUUAUUGAAGGUACCUGGUGAAUAAGCCACGGCUCACUACGUGCCAGCCGCCGCGGUAAUACGUAGGUGGCAAGCGUUGUCCGGAUUUAUUGGGUUUAAAGGGUGCGUAGGCGGUCAUAUAAGUCAGUGGUGAAAUACUUCAGCUCAACUGGAGAGGUGCCAUUGAUACUGUAUGACUUGAGUACAGACGAGGUAGGCGGAAUUGACGGUGUAGCGGUGAAAUGCUUAGAUAUCGUCAAGAACACCGAUAGCGAAGGCAGCUUACUAGACUGUAACUGACGCUGAUGCACGAAAGUGUGGGGAUCAAACAGG
rnacentral:rRNA from 1 species